UUUAUUUUUAUUUAUAAUAAAUAAAACCUGCUCAAUGAAUUUAUUUAAAUAGCCGCAAUUUCUGUGCUAAGGUAGCAUAAUCAUUUGUUUUUUAAUUAAAAACUAGAAUGAAAGGUUCAACAUAUAAUUUCUUUUUAAAUAAAAAAUUUUUUAAUUUAUAUUAGAUAUUAAAAUAUAUCUAUAUAAAAAAAAGACGAUAAGACCCUAUUAAACUUAACUUUAGUUAAGCUGGGGCAGCUUGUUAAUAAAAAUUUUAAUUUUUUAAAAAUAAAAAUCUAAUCAAAUUAAAAUAUAAUCAAGUUACUAUAGGGAUAACAGCAUAAUAAUUUUUUAAAGCUCUUAUUUAAAAAAAAGUUUAUGACCUCGAUGUUGAAUUAAUAUCCUUUAUUAAAGCAAAAAUUAUAAAAGUAGGUCUGUUCGACCUUUAAUAUAUUACA
rnacentral:rRNA from 1 species